GAUGAACGCUAGCGGCAGGCCUAAUACAUGCAAGUCGAACGGUGUCUUCGGACAUAGUGGCGCACGGGUGCGUAACACGUAUGCAACCUACCUUACAUUGGGGGAUAGCCUUUCGAAAGGGAGAUUAAUACCGCAUAAGACAGUAGCUGGGCAUCCAGCAGCUGUUAAAGAUUUAUCGAUGUAAGCUGGGCAUGCGUCCAAUUAGCUAGUUGGUGAGGUAACGGCUCACCAAGGCUAUGAUUGGUAGGGGAACUGAGAGGUCAAUCCCCCACACUGGCACUGAGAUACGGGCCAGACUCCUACGGGAGGCAGCAGUAGGGAAUAUUGGGCAAUGGACGCAAGUCUGACCCAGCCAUGCCGCGUGCAGGAUGAAGGCGUUAUGCGUUGUAAACUGCUUUUAUACAGGAAGAAACGACUCUUGCGAGAGGCAUUGACGGUACUGUAUGAAU
rnacentral:rRNA from 1 species